UACAACAGGGAAGUGGCCGAGAGCCGUAGCCACCAGUGCUUUCCCACAGCACUCGCCCACCCGUGUCAUGAGAAGGCUCUGAAUAGCAAAUCUGGCUGCUGCACAUUGCAUUCACAGCUCUUGCCACCAACCCUAUCAUGGCAGAGUCCUCGAGCUCACCACAGGACAGUGCCGAGAAGAAGCCCCCAAAGCCCAGGGAGCCACGAGUGCGACCAUUGCCGCCACCCGUCGAGAGGGACUCCCUGACCCACCGAAUGCAGAGGCUUAGCACUGAGGACGGCCCUCCACCGGACCCCAACUAUCGCUUUCUGGCUGACCGAAUGCGCGAGGGUGAUGCGGAUGGUGGCGGGGACCGAGGUGGCAGCCGUCGCCACCGAGACAAUUACGGAGGCCAGGAUUUUGACAAUGUGCGGCAUGCCAUGCGUCAGGAUAAGGCACUACAAAGGGAGUCUGGCCAUGUCCUGCCUCCGAAGCUGGCCAUGACAGGACGACAGCGGCGAGAGUACGAGCAGUGGAAAAGUGACCGUGCUGCCAUUGACCAGGAGCGAAUGCAGCGCCACACGGAUGCUGAAGGCAACUUCACGCGCGAGUGGGACCUCCAUAAGGAGUUGGGGCCUCCAUCACCUCAGACUGAGCGUCGAGCACUGCAAGGAGGAUUCUCCUCGGGGAGUCGUAUCUACAUGCGAGGAGCUCCAAGCCUGCCAUCUGAGCCGGAGAUCUGGUAACAGUAGUCUUAGCGAUUGUAAACCCUCUGCUGUGAUCUGGAAGGAGCCUCUCCCGGAUACAGUGACCUCAAUAUUUGGUCAGGGUGCUCUCGAGGCCGUGGUGAAGGUGGCAGGCAAUCCUUCCUCCAAAGCACCGCAGGUGGCCGGGGCAGCCCUGGUGACACAGAUUUUGGUGGUGACGAGU
rnacentral:misc_RNA from 1 species